CGCGUCUAAUCAAUUUAUUGCGUAAAAAAUAUGAGCCUCGACUGUCCAUAAAGAUGGAUUAUAUAUAGCUCACCAGCAAAGCAACAAAAACAAGUUGCACCAUGCAAUGCACCAAGCGCGGUUUUGAGUGUUCCAUUGAAUAUGCAGCCUCUUUUAAUGGGGACCCCCCCACCUGACCCAUCUGACCUCUUGCAAAUGCAACCCUCAAGGUUCAUGGGGCCAGGGGGCAGCCACAGCCAGGCAGCCCUGUUUGAUUUUGAACCUCUGGGAUUAGCCUCCGGUAAUUUUUGCUCCAUUUAUAAUUGCCAAAUUUGUUUACAUUUGGCUGUACUAUAAUUAUUGGGUUUUUAAUUUUUUUAGUUAAUCUUUUUGGGUAGAUUCUGAAAAUGGGACCCAAAUUGAUCUUAAUCUUGUUUGUAUCAUCUUUUGGACCUACAUAAGUUAAUUUGAUCCACCAAUCAUGGGGAAUUUUCCUACAAUAUUUUUUCCUUCUAUAAACUAUUGAACUCUCUUCGGUACUUGAACAGGCCAAAUGUUUGAGAAAAGACUAUUCACAUGAGCGAAAGAACAAGACAAGUUAUGUAUAGAUUAGGCUUUGGUCAAAACUCAAAUGGUUCACCUCUUGAAACUUAUUUAUUUGGAUUAUUGAUAAGAU
rnacentral:lncRNA from 1 species